rnacentral:misc_RNA from 1 species
CAUGUGCAAGUGCCUUGUCUGUAUCUUGCUGAGCAUCACAGAAUGGGAUCAAAUAUGUCUCCUGCUCGAGGAUCUUUCCGGGACCAUAUUCGGAAUUGGAUGACUAAAACUGCCGCCUUAGAGGGGGCCUGUGAUCCUGUAACCUGUUUUAUGGCCAAUAGUCUGCGAGGUCUGAAUUGGCAGUACGAGCCAGAGUUCAAAGUCCUCUACUUCACCGUCCAGCCGAGAUGUGGAUCGCAAGAGUAUGUUUAUCGAUCGAUCAACAUGUGCAAGCGUUCUUCUCCCCAUAAGUUCUGGUUUUCCAUGGAGGCUCUUCGCGAAAGGCACCCGAAUGCAAAGAUAAUUCUGUCGGUGCACCAAGGAAAGGAGUAUUUUUCGUACCACACAGUGUACCCGUGGCGGAAGGACCUAUAUGGAGCCAUGGCCAACCUCUCUAUCCAGGAGACUUUGGAGGUUCCUCAGCUGCUAGACCGCUACAGCGCUCUCUUUAGCAAUGUCACCAAAAGUAAAAGUCGGAAGAAAAAGAGAUGAGAGAUGUUUUGUUUUGAGUUUAAUUUUCUCUUAAUUGUAAAUCAGUGAUGUUUAAAGAAAAAUAGUCUGUAUGCUGUCGAUGUAUAUGCAAUUGAUGUUGCAUUUUCGUUUAUUUUACAGAUAACGGUAAUCAGGAUUACCUUUCAAGAUUCCAUUAAUACUUCCAGACGCUGCUGUAACAUAUUUUUAUAUUAGCUACUUGUGUAGGAUUCGGUGUCAGGUAAUGGUCAUAUAUCUUCAAUAAAAGCUAUUUUACUAUGGUUA